AUGAACGCUGGCGGUAUGCUUAACACAUGCAAGUCGAACGGUCACUUCGGUGAUAGUGGCGGACGGGUGAGUAACGCGUGAGAAUCUGUCCUCAGGUCGGGGACAACAGUUAGAAAUGACUGCUAAUACCGGAUGUGCCUUUGGGUGAAAGAUUUAUUGCCUGAAAAAGAGCUCGCGUCAGAUUAGCUAGUAGGUGGUGUAAGAGACUACCUAGGCUCCGAUCUGUAGCUGGUCUGAGAGGACGAUCAGCCACACUGGAACUGAGACACGGUCCAGACUCCUACGGGAGGCAGCAGUGGGGAAUUUUCCGCAAUGGGCGAAAGCCUGACGGAGCAAUACCGCGUGAGGGACGAAGGCUUUUGGGUCGUAAACCUCUUUUCUCAAGGAAGAUGAUGACGGUACUUGAGGAAUAAGCAGCGGCUAACUCGGUG
rnacentral:rRNA from 1 species